CCCCGUUAAGCCCCGCCCCCUCCGGAAGCCUUGGCCCGAGCGGAGCUCGCCCUUCCCCGCGUGGGUCGCCGGCUGCGCGCCCCUGUCCUGCGAGCGACCCCGCGGCGGGUGCGCGGCGAGCGUGUGCCCCGUCCGCGGCGGGCUCCGCGUCGGAUCCCGCUCCUUCCCGCCAUGAACCGCUACCUUCUGCCGCUGUCCGUGCUGGGCACGGCGGUGGGUGGCGCGGUGCUGCUCCGAGACUACGUUGCGGGCGGGGUCUGUCCCAGCAAGGCCACCAUUCCUGGGAAGACCGUCAUUGUGACCGGCGCCAACACGGGCAUCGGGAAGCAGACGGCCUUGGAGCUGGGCAGAAGAGGAGGCAACAUCAUUCUGGCCUGUCGAGAUAUGGAGAAGUGUGAGGCGGCGGCAAAGGACAUUCGUGGGGAGACCCUUAAUCACCGCGUCAGGGCCCGGCACCUGGACCUGGCCUCCCUCAAGUCCAUCCGAGAGUUUGCCGCGAAGAUCAUCGAAGAGGAGGAACAAGUGCACAUUCUGGUCAACAAUGCAGCUGUGAUGCGGUGCCCCCACUGGACCACCGACGAUGGCUUUGAGAUGCAGUUUGGUGUUAACCACUUGGGUCACUUUCUUUUGACAAACUUGCUGCUGGACAAGCUGAAAGCCUCGGCCCCUUCACGGAUCAUCAACCUCUCGUCCUUGGCCCACGUUGCAGGACACAUAGACUUUGAUGACUUGAACUGGGAGAAGAGGAAGUAUGACACCAAAGCAGCUUAUUGCCAGAGUAAGCUGGCCAUCAUCCUCUUUACCAGGGAGCUGAGCCGGCAGCUGCAGGGCACGGGUGUGACCGUCAAUGCUUUGCACCCUGGUGUGGCCAGGACAGAGCUGGGCAGGCACACAGGCAUGCACAGCUCUGCCUUCUCCAGCUUCACACUCGGGCCCAUCUUCUGGCUGCUGGUCAAGAGCCCCCAGCUGGCAGCCCAGCCUAGCACGUACCUGGCUGUGGCAGAGGAAUUGGAAGGUGUUUCUGGAAAGUAUUUUGAUGGACUCAAAGAGAAGCCUCCAGCCCCUGAAGCUGAGGAUGAGGAGGUAGCCCAGAGACUUUGGGCUGAAAGUGCCCGCCUGGUGGGCUUGGAGAUGUCCGGUGGUUCCUCUGGGAGGGGGCAGCCCCUCCCCAAAUAACCUCUGGGAGCCUUUGAAAACCACAUGGGAGGCUGAGUACCAGGAUGGAGCGGCAAGACCAACCAAGGCUGGCGGCUCUGUCUGCAGCACCCUCUAGGUGGCAGUAUUGGCCAAGGAAUGCUGACUGCUAUGCCCACGUCACCCUCUAGGUGGCAGUCUUGGCUGCGUGAGCCUCAAGACCACUGCUGUCAUGCCCUCAGCCUCCUCUAGGUGGCAGUAUUGACUAAAGAAUGCUGACUGCCGUGCCCACGCCACGCUUUAGGUGGCAGUGUUGGCUGCGUGAGCCUCAAGACCACUGCUGUCAUGCGCUCAGCCUCCUCUAGGUGGCAGUAUUGACUAAAGAAUGCUGACUGCCGUGCCCACGCCACGCUUUAGGUGGCAGUGUUGGCUGCGUGAGCCUCAAGACCACUGCUGUCAUGCGCUCAGCCUCCUCUAGGUGGCAGUAUUGACUAAAGAAUGCUGACUGCCGUGCCCACGCCACGCUUUAGGUGGCAGUGUUGGCUGCGUGAGCCUCAAGACCACUGCUGUCAUGCGCUCAGCCUCCUCUAGGUGGCAGUAUUGACUAAAGAAUGCUGACUGCCGUGCCCACGCCACGCUUUAGGUGGCAGUGUUGGCUGCGUGAGCCUCAAGACCACUGCUGUCAUGCCCUCAGCCUCCUCUAGGUGGCAGUAUUGACUAAAGAAUGCUGACUGCCGUGCCCACGUCACGCUUUAGGUGGCAGUGUUGGCUGCGUGAGCCUCAAGACCACUGCUGUCAUGCCCUCAGCCUCCUCUAGGUGGCAGUAUUGACUAAAGAAUGCUGACUGCCGUGCCCACGUCACGCUUUAGGUGGCAGUGUUGGCUGCGUGAGCCUCAAGACCACUGCUGUCAUGCCCUCAGCCUCCUCUAGGUGGCAGUAUUGACUAAAGAAUGCUGACUGCCGUGCCCACGCCACGCUUUAGGUGGCAGUGUUGGCUGCGUGAGCCUCAAGACCACUGCUGUCAUGCCCUCAGCCUCCUCUAGGUGGCAGUAUUGACUAAAGAAUGCUGACUGCCGUGCCCACGUCACGCUUUAGGUGGCAGUGUUGGCUGCGUGAGCCUCAAGACCACUGCUGUCAUGCGCUCAGCCUCCUCUAGGUGGCAGUAUUGACUAAAGAAUGCUGACUGCCGUGCCCACGCCACGCUUUAGGUGGCAGUGUUGGCUGCGUGAGCCUCAAGACCACUGCUGUCAUGCCCUCAGCCUCCUCUAGGUGGCAGUAUUGACUAAAGAAUGCUGACUGCCGUGCCCACGCCACGCUUUAGGUGGCAGUGUUGGCUGCGUGAGCCUCAAGACCACUGCUGUCAUGCCCUCAGCCUCCUCUAGGUGGCAGUAUUGACUAAAGAAUGCUGACUGCCGUGCCCACGCCACGCUUUAGGUGGCAGUGUUGGCUGCGUGAGCUCAAGACCACUGCUGUCAUGCCGGCACCACCCUCGAGGUGGCAGUACUGCCCAAGGAACGCUGGCUGCCAUGCGCAUACCACCCUGUAGGGGUCACUAGCGGCCCUUUUCUCAGGCACAGUGGAUGGGACUGCAGAUGCGCACCUGUCGCAACUGAUGCGGUGCGCCCCGCAGCCCGCAGGUGCGCGGGGCCGUCAGACACCUGCCUUGAGCGUGUAACUGGGAACUGAGGGAGGAGUCCGCUCCCUCCGGCGUGGCCGUCAGGAGAGCCUGUGCAGAACUGUAUGGCCGUUGGGAAGGUUGUCGGCCAGACACGGUCAAGGUCGUGGUUCCCCGUGGGACCGUGCACGCCCUCAGUUGCCUUUCUGAGCCUCGGUUUCUCCCUCUGUGAAUGUGCAGAAUAACCUGACUACCUCGCGGGGCGGUGUGGUGACGACGGAGUUCUCGCCUUGCUGCUGAACGUUCGCUUGCGCGUGCCAUACCCUGGGCGAGCCGCCGGGGUCACCCCUGAGGACAGGCCUUGUAAUGCCAGUCCUGCUCGGGACAGCAAGGGUGAGAAGCCCACCAGCUGCGCAGCUUCGGUGGCAGAAUCGGGGCUGGCACUCAGCUCCCGCACAGAAUGGAGGGGGGGCGCACCACAAAGCUCAGGAAUCAAGAUUCAAGUGUUUUAACAUAACAAACAUGUACCAUUUGAGAUGCUUGUGGAGGCCAGAGAUGCUGCUCCAUGCCCUCCACUACCCAGAACAUCAGCCAGUGGCCCUGCCCCAAAUGCCGACAGUGCUGAGGAAGGUGGGAUUAAAGACGGCUCGAAGUUUUAUAAAUACGCAAUAGAUCUUGAAGAUCAUCUGUAUCGCUACACAAAGGUCGAUCGCAUUCUUUAAAAAAUACCUGUGCACGAUUUCAUCACGCGUCUGUAUCACAGAGAUGCCACAGGGAGAGUUUGCGGGAAGCCAUGCAAAAGACCGAGGCAAGGGCUGUUGGCAGCCCUAACAUUGGGUGAAAACCACCGCCAGAAAGAGAAGGUUGUGCAAACAGUAAAGAGAGCAUUCGGACUGAUCAGGGCACCGACCGCAGAGCACAGACCGUAGUCUGUGAGAUGCUCAAGAACAGGGAGAGGCGUCCUUUGGACACUGCAUGGUGAAGGGAAAAGGGAGAAAGAGGGGGAAAUUAGGAUUUUUCAAGAAGAAAGGAAAAAAAAAAAAAUCAAGGACAUAACCUUUCUCUCCACUCUGCCUCCCUGCAGGAGCCCCCUAGUAAAAAACUGUACUUCACCACUGACAGCAGAGGGCAGACUCGUACCAAAAAUCUUUACUACAGCAAACAAGCGCGUUAUCUAGGAAUACCUGUCAACAGGAGCCGCACAGAUCAUCCCAACCACCAGCCCUGUUUAACAGAAAUACACAGGUGCAAACAUUAUUUAUCAAACACUGCCAUCCAAAUGAACCAGAAGAUGAGAAUCCCAAAACUCAGUUGAUAACACCUAAGAGCAGAAUUAGUAGGUCACACGGUAACCCUACGUACACAGCAUUUUGAAGAACUGCUAGAUUAUGUUCCUCUCACAUUCACAAGCGUAUUCACAACAGCCCAAAGGUGGGAGCAACCCCAUGCCCAUCAGAGUUGACUGGAUAAAGGAAGUGUGGAAUGUUAUUCAGCCCUCACACCCGCGACCACAGCGAUGAGCCUUGAAAACACGACGCUAAGUGAAAUAAGCCAGUCGCAAAGACAAAUACCGUGUGGUUUCACGGACAUGAUGUCUCUAAAGAAGCCAGAUUUGCCGAGAUAGAAAAUAGUAUGGUGCUUACCAGGGGCAGCGGGGCGACGGUCUGGGAGAUCGAGUGCUGGGACUGGAGCAGUAAGCCUUAAUCUCUCCGGGCAGAACUCAGGAGCAGGCAGGGAGCUUCUGGGGGAGGCGCGGAGGCUGCUGGUCUAGCCACCAAAUUGGCAGCACGUGGAGAUGCCUGGGGAGAUCCGAACACAUGAAGACAAUUGCAACUAACUACAAUCAAGAGCUUCAUUCUCCCUGUUGAAAACACGGGGAGAAACAUCUCUCCUGUUGCUUAGAACAUUUCUUUAGAAAACUUGAAAGUUCUCUCUCUGUCCCUUCGAAGUGUGUGCCAACAUUUUUAGAAGGUAAGUAAGCCUCUUGCCAGCUCUGUGACCCAGGACUGUCUUUCUCGAGGACUGGGAAUGUGAACGUGAAGGGAGGCGGCAUUCCUAUCUACCAGCUUCUGAAGGAGGACAGGAGCUCAACUCCAUGUUGCAAAGCUGCCUCCCCACAUAAAGCUGGGAGUGGUUUGUUUUUUCCUCUGCCUAAAGCCAAUCAGCUGACACACGUGGUCUCCCCAGUCACCAGAUAAAUUUAGGAUGAUGGUGUUGUCAGGUCCACUGGAUGUGAUGAGCUGACCCUGCUUGACUCUGUGACAGGGCGGGACUGUUUCCUGUCUUUGCUAUCUUGUUGGCAGAUCUUGUCCUGAUGCACAUCACGUUCUGGCUUGAAUACCUAUUCAAUAAUAAAACUGUGUUCUUUCUCUUC